GAUGAGCCUCCGCCCGUGCCGUCCUCGCACCCUCUCCCUUCAGGUCCUUGUGUGUGUGUGUCUCUCAGUGGUAUCGAGGCUUUGUUGUGCCCCGUGUUUUCUCUCAGUUGCACAACUUAGGUUUUCCUUUUUUUUGUGACGCAGCAGCUGAGACUUUGUACAAGCUUCCUCCUUGAAUCUUCGCUGCUUCCCGCGCAGAACCAAGCUUCCCUUCAUCACCCCGAACUCCAUCCGCUAAGAGCAUCACCACUGACUUCGCCUGUUCAUCUUUCUCUCUCUCAAAACCCCCCUUUCUGUACAGCUUCAGCACGGAGUACUCGCGCAUCCGACGCUGUGCGCACACGUACUCGUUUUCUGGCCUUUGCCGCCACACGCGAUUUUCUGUCGUCGUCUCUCACAACUAUGGUGCCCCUUGUUGUCUUUGCGUAGGAACACAUCUUCUGUUUAGCUCGAUACCCGACUUUGUUCUGGUUACACACACACACAUACAUACAUACACACUCUACCUUCGACUGCUGUGCGCGUUGUGGUUGCCGUCGCUGCCUGUGCCAGAGCCCCAUCGCUCUUUUCACUUGCUCGUUGAUUUUUCUUUUUGUUUUUAUGUUUACGUAGCAUAGCGUAGUCUAGUGAAGCCCUCCUUCCCGCUCCUCCCUCGCGUUCCUUUGCCGCCAAAGACGAGAGCACGCGCAUGCGUACGCACACGCAUAGCAUUCUCUCCUCACCUUCGGGUAGAACGGCCGUAGUGGAAGCGCCACAUCCUCUUCCGUGGCGCUGCAGUGAUAUCUCAACAAAGGACUCAUUUUUCUCGGAUAUUUAGAACCCCCUCUUCCACACUCUCUUUCUCAAG
rnacentral:misc_RNA from 1 species